rnacentral:tRNA from 1 species
UCCCUGGUGGUCUAGUGAUUAGGACUUGGUGCUUUCACUGCCGGGGCCUGGGUUCAAUCUCUAGUUAGGGAA